rnacentral:rRNA from 1 species
CACGUAGGGGGCGAGCGUUGUCCGGAUUUAUUGGGCGUAAAGAGCUCGUAGGCGGCUCGGUAAGUCAGGUGUGAAAACUCUAGGCUCAACCUAGAGACGUCACCUGAUACUGCCGUGGCUAGAGUCCGGUAGGGGAGCAUGGAAUUCCUGGUGUAGCGGUGAAAUGCGCAGAUAUCAGGAGGAACACCAGUGGCGAAGGCGGUGCUCUGGGCCGGAACUGACGCUGAGGAGCGAAAGCGUGGGGAGCAAACAGG